rfam:Aureobasidium subglaciale EXF-2481 unplaced genomic scaffold scaffold_11, whole genome shotgun sequence.
GCCUCGAUAGUAUAACGGCUAGUACGAAGGUCUCAUAUCGGUCAUCAAUAUGACCAAGCAUGGCUUGGGUAAUCCUUAGAUGGGAGUUCGAUUCUCCCUCGAGGCA